GUGAGUUGUGAGUUAGUAGACAUAAAGGUAAGUGUUUGACCCAGUCUUAUAGGGUGCCACCAGACAGAUAAUUAAUAAUACAGUAAGUACAAUUCUUUGUAAAUCAUGUAAACUUUGUUUCCUCCAACACCAGAAGUGUGGGCUAUUAUUUUCAAAGUAUGGGUGAACUGGGCUGAGUAGGUAGGCAGGGAGUGAGGCUAGAGUUAAGUUAAAAUGCCACAAAACUUGCUACUUUUAGUGAAAUUCAGUUAAUUUUCUUGAAUAAACACUCUACUGGCUGUUAGCAGCUUGUGUUAGUUUCCAGAUUUCUGUAAAGUUGGUCUUAACAGUGUUUGCCACUUUUUCAUUGCUUUUAUGAAUGAGAAGUUGGUGUUUCUUACUCUACCAUUUUUUAUUGAUGUUUUUAUAAGCAUUUUUACUGUAGGUUCUACAGUUAAACGGAAUACACAAUGUCCACAAGGCAAUGAAUAUUGAACUAUUUUCUGAAAAAAAAAAACAGCAUCAUGACUUAUUUGCAUUUUUAAACAAUAUACACUUGUAAAAUUAGACAAUAAAAUUUGAAUAGGCAAAGAAAGAUGAAGUGGUUUAUAUAGUUUAUAUUAUAAUGAGGGUGUUGUAUUUCACAAUAGUGUGGUUUACACAGUUGUGUAUAUUGGAAUGAGGAUGUUGUAAAGAGGGUGAUGAACAAUGUAUUGUCUGAGAUUUUCGUCAAAGACAUUUGCCUUUUAUGGCACAUAUAUCAGUAAGGACACUGAAGAACAGAUAGUUCCAUAGGACAUUUAUGUUAGGCUUUUAUGGUUUUUAAAAAUGUUAUCUGAUUAACAUUUGGAAUUAAUUGUACAUUGAUAUUGAUUCAAAAAUAUAAUCUGUCUGUUUAAAAUGAUAAAUUCAAGGCCAUGUUUCAAAGAACAAUGUUGGGAAGAAUAAUACCUUGUAGAAAAAUAAAUAAAUACAAUGUUAAUCCUUAUGUUUAAUGCUUCCAUUCAUCAAGGAGUUAGGUUAGGCUUGAGAAAAGCAUGUCUAAAAGAAAGAGCUUUUUAGCCAUCAGUAAGAACACCUUUGAAGAUCCUGAAUCACUGUACAAGAGGGACUCCUGGACACCAAACUUUCAUUCCUCCUGUUUUACAUAUUUUAUUCUUAUAAAUGAAACAACAUCAGUCCAAACUCAAAGGUGAAAUUGGUCCAUCAUUUCUUAUUCCUGUGUGUCCUUGAGCAAUUUGAGCACCAGGGUUACUUGAGCUCUGGAAAAAGAAUGGAAUGAUAUCCCACAGCUGGAAAGAAGGUUCAGCGGCGCCUGCAGUGACUUUCUCCUCUGGCUCCUCGGCUGUCCUUCUCAGAGUUGAGAAUGAAGAAAGAGGCUCCAGUAUGUGAUCAAGCUGUCAUUUUGGUCUGAUUCACCUACACAUUAUUCUUCACAUUAGCACAUCCAUUAACAUGUCAAUAGAAAAAUGAAUGCUUUUAGUUUUACAUUGGUUUUGUGUAAAUGUGAUCAUAUUCUUUUCUUUUGCUCUUCUUUUCUUGUUGUGUUUGUUCUUUGUAUUUAAUUGUUAACAAUGAGUCUUGAAGACCAUUCCAUGUCGGCAUAUUUACAUCUACAUUAUUUCUAACUGCUAAAGUAUUCCAUGUUGUGAAAAUAAUAUCAUUUACUUAACCAAUGCCGCAUUGCUGAACAUUUACAUCACUUUAU
rnacentral:lncRNA from 1 species